ACCCUUCCGUUCCCUUUCCCCUCGGAUCAGAACACUAGUGUUGGUGGCCAUACAAGGAGAAAAUGUGAUUUUUUUUUUUAAUU
rnacentral:snoRNA from 1 species